UGUUGCGUGAAGGUGAAGCGUCUGGGAAGGCGUACCGGAGUGGGUGAGAGUCCUGUAACUGUAAGCGUGGCACUGGUGUGGGGUUGCCCCGAGUAGCGUGGGACUCGUGGAAUUUCGCGUGAAUCUGGCGGGACCACCCGUCAAGCCUAAAUACUCCUUGGUGACCGAUAGUGGAUGAGUACCGUGAGGGAAGGGUGAAAAGUACCCCGGGAGGGGAGUGAAAGAGUUCCUGAAACCGGUCGCAUGCAAGCCGUCAGAGCCUGUGUGGUGAUGGCGUGCCUUUUGAAGAAUGAGCCUGCGAGUUAGUGAUGCGUGGCGAGGUUAACCCGUGGUGGGGGAGUCGUAGCGAAAGCGAGUCCGAUAAGGGCGUGAGUCGCGUGUUCUAGACCCGAAGCGGUGUGAUCUAUCCAUGGCCAGGAUGAAGCGUCGGUAAGACGUCGUGGAGGUCCGAACCCACUUCAGUUAAAAAUGGAGGGGAUGAGUUGUGGAUAGGGGUGAAAGGCCAAUCAAACACCGUGAUAGCUGGUUCUCCCCGAAAUGCAUUUAGGUGCAGCGUUGCGUGGUUCUUGUUGGAGGUAGAGCACUGGAUGGUCUAGGGGGCUUAUCGGCUUACCGAAAUCAGCCAAACUCCGAAUGCUGGCAAGCGUAGCGUGGCAGUGAGACGGCGG
rnacentral:rRNA from 1 species